GAUGAAGAACGCAGCGAAAUGCGAUAAGUAAUGUGAAUUGCAGAAUUCCGUGAAUCAUCGAAUCUUUGAACGCAUAUUGCGCCCCCUGGUAUUCCGGGGGGCAUGCCUGUUCGAGCGUCAUUUCACCACUCAAGCCUCGCUUGGUAUUGGGCAACGCGGUCCGCCGCGUGCCUCAAAUCGACCGGCUGGGUCUUCUGUCCCCUAAGCGUUGUGGAAACUAUUCGCUAAAGGGUGUUCGGGAGGCUACGCCGUAAAACAACCCCAUUUCUAAGGUUGACCUCGGAUCAGGUAGGGAUACCCGCUGAACUUAAGCAUAUCAAUAAGCGGAGGA
rnacentral:misc_RNA from 1 species